rnacentral:tRNA from 1 species
GUGGUGGCUCAGUGGUAAGGCACUAGCCCAGCACGUGCAAGGCCCUGAGUUCGAUCCUCAGUACCACA